AGAGUUUGAUUCUGGCUCAGAUUGAACGCUGGCGGCAUGCCUUACACAUGCAAGUCGAACGGCAGCGCGGGAGCUUGCUCCUGGCGGCGAGUGGCGAACGGGUGAGUAAUACAUCGGAACGUGUCCGUUUGUGGGGGACAACCAGCCGAAAGGUUGGCUAAUACCGCAUAAGACCUGAGGGUGAAAGCCGGGGACCGCAAGGCCUGGCGCAGACGGAGCGGCCGAUGAUUGAUUAGCUUGUUGGCGGGGUAAAGGCCCACCAAGGCGACGAUCAAUAGCUGGUCUGAGAGGACGACCAGCCACACUGGAACUGAGACACGGUCCAG
rnacentral:rRNA from 1 species